rnacentral:rRNA from 1 species
CGGCUCAACCGGGGAGGGUCAUUGGAAACUGGGAGACUUGAGUGCAGAAGAGGAGAGUGGAAUUUCCAUGUGUAGCGGUGAAAUGCGUAGAUAUAUGGAGGAACACCAGUGGCGAAGGCGGCUCUCUGGUCUGUAACUGACGCUGAGGCUCGAAAGCGUGGGGAGCGAACAGGAUUAGAUACCCUGGUAGUCCACGCCGUAAACGAUGAGUGCUAAGUGUUGGAGGGUUUCCGCCCUUCAGUGCUGCAGCAAACGCAUUAAGCACUCCGCCUGGGGAGUACGACCGCAAGGUUGAAACUCAAAGGAAUUGACGGGGGCCCGCACAAGCGGUGGAGCAUGUGGUUUAAUUUGAAGCAACGCGAAGAACCUUACCAGGUCUUGACAUCCUUUGACCACUCUAGAGAUAGAGCUUCCCCUUCGGGGGCAAAGUGACAGGUGGUGCAUGGUUGUCGUCAGCUCGUGUCGUGAGAUGUUGGGUUAAGUCCCGCAACGAGCGCAACCCUUAUUGUUAGUUGCCAUCAUUUAGUUGGGCACUCUAGCGAGACUGCCGGUGACAAACCGGAGGAAGGUGGGGAUGACGUCAAAUCAUCAUGCCCCUUAUGACCUGGGCUACACACGUGCUACAAUGGGAAGUACAACGAGUUGCGAAGUCGCGAGGCUAAGCUAAUCUCUUAAAGCUUCUCUCAGUUCGGAUUGUAGGCUGCAACUCGCCUACAUGAAGCCGGAAUCGCUAGUAAUCGCGGAUCAGCACGCCGCGGUGAAUACGUUCCCGGGCCUUGUACACACCGCCCGUCACACCACGAGAGUUUGUAACACCCGAAGUCGGUGAGGUAACCUUUUUGGAGCCAGCCGCCUAAGGUGGGAUAGAUGAUUGGGGGAAGUCGUAACAAAGUGGCCUUUGG